rnacentral:rRNA from 1 species
GACGAACGCUGGCGGCGUGCUUAACACAUGCAAGUCGAGCGGUAAGGCCCUUUCGGGGGUACGACGAGCGGCGAACGGGUGAGUAACACGUGGGUGACCUGCCCUCCAGCUCUGGGAUAAGCCUCGGGAAACCGGGUCUAAUACUGGAUAUGACUCCAUGACGCAUGUUGUGGGGUGGAAAGCCUUGUGCGGCUGAGGAUGGGCCCGCGGCCUAUCAGCUUGUUGGUGGGGUGANGGCCUACCAAGGCGACGACGGGUAGCCGGCCUGAGAGGGCGACCGGCCACACUGGGACGUGAGACACGGCCCA